UAACAAGGAUUCCCCUAGUAACGGCGAGCGAAGCGGGAAGAGCACAAAUUUGAAAGCUGGCGUCUUCGGCGUCCGCGUUGUAAUCUCGAGACGUGUUUUCCGUGCGGCUCUAUGGACAAGUCCCUUGGAACAGGGCAUCGUAGAGGGUGAAAAUCCCGUACUUGCCAUGGAAGUACCGUGCUUUGUGAUACACGUUCCAAGAGUCGAGUAGUUUGGGAUUGCUGCUCAAAGUGGGUGGUAGACUCCAUCUAAAGCUAAAUAUCGGGGAGAGACCGAUAGCGAACAAGUACCGUGAGGGAAAGAUGAAAAGCACUUUGGAAAGAGAGUUAAAAGUACGUGAAAUUGUCGAAAGGGAAGCACUUGAAGUCAGCCAUGCUGCUUGAGACUCAGCCUGGCUUUUGCUUGGUGUAUUUCUCGGUAGCAAGCCAGCAUUGGUUUGUGUCGUCGGAGAAGCGUAUGGGGAAUGUGGCAUCCUCGGAUGUGUUAUAGCCCUGUGCUGGAUACGACGACGCAGACCAAGGAACGCAGUGUGCCCUCUGGGCGGGUCUUCGGACACCUUCACACUUAGGAUGCUGGCGUAAU
rnacentral:rRNA from 1 species